rnacentral:tRNA from 1 species
GCCGGUGUGGCGGAAUUGGUAGACGCAGCGGAUUCAAAAUCCGCCGCUGGAAACAGUGUGUCGGUUCGAGUCCGACCACCGGCA